AGUUAAAAAAUUUCAUCCAUUGCUGCUGUUAAAAACUGGCAUGAUUGAUGGAAUAACCAAAUAAUUACACCUGACACGCCACGUAUACCUCAUGUUGACAUAUAAGGACCCAUUUUUAAUAAUGAAAAUGAAUGAAAUUUUUAACA
rfam:Gossypium raimondii Chr11_contig_898, whole genome shotgun sequence.